rnacentral:rRNA from 1 species
CAGUAGCCGCGGUAAUACGUAGGUCCCGAGCGUUGUCCGGAUUUAUUGGGCGUAAAGCGAGCGCAGGCGGUUUCUUAAGUCUGAUGUGAAAGCCCCCGGCUCAACCGGGGAGGGUCAUUGGAAACUGGGAAACUUGAGUGCAGAAGAGGAGAGUGGAAUUCCACGUGUAGCGGUGAAAUGCGUAGAGAUGUGGAGGAACACCAGUGGCGAAGGCGACUCUCUGGUCUGUAACUGACGCUGAGGAGCGAAAGCGUGGGGAGCGAACAGGAUUAGAUACCCCCGUAGUCCCUGUCUCUUAUAC